rnacentral:rRNA from 1 species
GACGAACGCUGGCGGCGUGCUUAACACAUGCAAGUCGAACGGAAAGGCCCUGCUUUUGUGGGGUGCUCGAGUGGCGAACGGGUGAGUAACACGUGAGUAACCUGCCCUUGACUUUGGGAUAACUUCAGGAAACUGGGGCUAAUACCGGAUAGGAGCUCCUGCUGCAUGGUGGGGGUUGGAAAGUUUCGGCGGUUGGGGAUGGACUCGCGGCUUAUCAGCUUGUUGGUGGGGUAGUGGCUUACCAAGGCUUUGACGGGUAGCCGGCCUGAGAGGGUGACCGGCCACAUUGGGACUGAGAUACGGCCCAGACUCCUACGGGAGGCAGCAGUGGGGAAUAUUGCACUAUGGGCGGAAGCCUGAUGCAGCAACGCCGCGUGCGGGAUGACGGCCUUCGGGUUGUAAACCGCUUUCGCCUGUGACGAAGCGUGAGUGACGGUAAUGGGUAAAGAAGCACCGGCUAACUACGU